GAUGAACGCUGGCGGCGUGCUUAACACAUGCAAGUCGAACGGAAAGGCUCCUGCUUGCAGGGGUACUCGAGUGGCGAACGGGUGAGUAACACGUGGGUGAUCUGCCCUGCACUUCGGGAUAAGCCUGGGAAACUGGGUCUAAUACCGGAUAGGACCACAUUUUGGAUGGUGUGGUGGAAAGUUUUUCGGUGUGGGAUGAGCUCGCGGCCUAUCAGCUUGUUGGUGGGGUAAUGGCCUACCAAGGCGUCGACGGGUAGCCGGCCUGAGAGGGUGUACGGCCACAUUGGGACUGAGAUACGGCACAGACUCCUACGGGAGGCAGGAGUGGGGAAUAUUGCACAAUGGGGGCAAGCGUGAUGCAGCGACGCCGCGUGGGGGAUGACGGCCUUCGGGUUGUAAACUCCUUUCGCUAGGGACGAAGCGCAAGUGACGGUACCUGGAGAAGAAGCACCGGCUAACUACG
rnacentral:rRNA from 1 species